UUUCAUUUCAAAUCGAUUCACACACAUAGCAGACGCUAACACAUCAAGCGUCAUCAAUAGCGUGGUCUGUGGUGCAAUGCUAUCGCUGGAGUAAGGCGUUUACCUUCAAUUCGGGUAGCGUCAUGAUUGGCCUACCCUGAUGGCGUCAUGAUCGCUGCUGAUUGCCUUUCAAAUAGGUUUUCAGCAUUCUGCUUACACCUUUGGCAUAGAGUCACAUAUUUCACAAUCCAACAUCAAUUGGUACCAACAGCAGCCCUUCUCUCCAUCAUCCAGAAGGGUCUGAGAUCAGUGUUGGAGAUGAUGGUUCGGAACAACCCAUGGAAAGCUUAUCACUCAUUGAUGCUGUGAUGCCUGAUGUUGUUGCAAGUCGUUAACAGCAAACACAGAACAAUCAGAAACAAAAGUGGUAAGACAGAACCACCAAAUUCCAAUGGAGAUGAACCCAUGCAUUCCUAUCGCUGGGAAGAGGAAACAGGAGUAGAGAUACCUGCCAGCAAAUCUACUAU